AAGCUCACACCAAGACUCAAGGGCAGACUCAAGAGAAGUCACUGGAUCUCUUUGUCCCUGCUUCUAAUGUAGCUACAUUGAAAAAUCUCCUUCUGCUCCUUAUUGUUACUUGUUUGCUUAACUUAUCAUUUGUUUGUUUUUUUGGAAGGUGAGGAAACUUGGGUUAUUACAGCUGUCAAGGCUGAGGCUCUGGCCCCAAUGACUCCAGGAACAACACUACUGAAAAAUCUAAUGCAAUCAAGUCAAGAGGGUGUGAGCUUGGAAGAUGAAGGCUGACAGCUGAAGGCUGAAGGAUUCUGUCAAGACAACGACCAUGAUACCGGCUCACCAAAAAAACGAGGCUGCUAGUGUCUACCUCUUCGGGAGAGAUGGUCCACUCUUGCCCUACUGGGGAUUCCUAUCCCAGGAGCCAGAAAUUGAGGCCAUCAAAAUAGAUAAGGUAGUGGAGACAUCCAUCAUAGUCCGCUGCUAUACCACUGGCUUUCACAUGCAAAAUCCAACUGUGAGAGGAAAAACACACACAAAAAUGAAUAUUCCAUAGAACCACACAUUUAUUUUGAAUCUGAGGUUUUUUUCUUUCAUUUUCCUUUUUCUUCACUUCCAACUUUCUUUGGCUUUUUGAAAUAUCCACAAAUGAUUCCCAAAUAUGCCUCUAUAAGCCAACCAAGGACUUUCUUUGCUUUGCUUCCUGAUACAGCCCAUAACAUUCUAAAACUCAUGAUGUUAAAAAGAAUCUUUUGGGCCUAGAGACAGCCUGGUGGUUAAGAGGACUAUCUGUUCUUCCAGAGGACCUGGGCUCAAUUCCCAGAACCCACAUGGCGGCCACAACUGUCUGUAACUCCAGAGGAUCCAAUAUCCUCA
rnacentral:lncRNA from 1 species